rnacentral:misc_RNA from 1 species
UGCUGGAAUCACUCCUGGCAG